CUAUACAUGCAAGUCGAACGAGAUUGUUUUAGCAAUAGAACAUGAAAGUGGCGCACGGGUGCGUAACACGUAUGCAAUCUACCUCUAAUAGGGAAAUAGCUUCGAGAAAUCGGAAUUAAUGUCCCAUAACAUAUUUGAAUGGCAUCAUUCGAAUAUCAAACCUCCGGGGAUUAGAGAUGAGCAUGCGCAACAUUAGCUAGUUGGUAAGGUAAUGGCUUACCAAGGCUACGAUGUUUAGGGGGUCUGAGAGGAUGAUCCCCCACACUGGUACUGAGACACGGACCAGACUCCUACGGGAGGCAGCAGUAGGGAAUAUUGGUCAAUGGAGGCAACUCUGAACCAGCCAUGCCGCGUGCAGGAUGACGGCCCUCUGGGUUGUAAACUGCUUUUGUACGGGAAGAAAAAAUACUACGUGUAGUAUAUUGACGGUACCGUAAGAAUAAGGAUCGGCUAACUCCGUGCCAGCAGCCGCGGUAAUACGGAGGAUCCAAGCGUUGUCCGGAUUUAUUGGGUUUAAAGGGUGCGUAGGCGGAUCUUUAAGUCAGUGGUGAAAGCCUGCAGCUCAACUGUAGAAUUGCCAUUGAAACUGAAGAUCUUGAAUUAGGUUAAAGUAGGCGGAAUGUAUCAUGUAGCGGUGAAAUGCUUAGAUAUGAUACAGAACACCGAUAGCGAAGGCAGCUUGCUGAACCUAUAUUGACGCUGAGGCACGAAAGCGUGGGGAGCGAACAGGAUUAGAUACCCUGGUAGUCCACGCCCUAAACGUUGAUUACUCGUUGUUGGCGAUAUACAGUCAGCGACCAAGCUAAAGCGUUAAGUAAUCCACCUGGGAAGUACGAC
rnacentral:rRNA from 1 species